rnacentral:rRNA from 1 species
AAGUUUCAACAACGGAUCUUUGGGUUUUCGCAUCGAUAAAAAACGCAGCAAAAUGCAAUAAGUAAUGUAAAUGGCAGAAUUCAGUGAAUCAUCGAAUCUUUGAACGCACCUUGCGCUCCUUGGUAUUCCUCGGAGCAUGCCUGUUUGAGUAUCAUG